rnacentral:lncRNA from 1 species
AAGCCACUUUUUUAAUAUAUUCAAAUAAUCACUUUUGUCUUUUAUUUUACUAAAUUAGAUAUAGCUUACUUAUUUCUUUUUUCUUUUCAAGAGGAAACAUGCUUGGUUUUCUCUUUCGCCAUUUGCAUAGUUUGCUUCAGGGACUACAAUGUUGAAAUAAUGGCAGGUUCUCCUUUGUGUCCCAAGAGAAGGGGGAGAUUUAAAGUUUCUGUUUCUAGGUUCCUGAAAAAAAAAAAAAAAAUCACAAGGAAAGGAGUGAGACAACAGCAAAGACGGAAUCAUAGUUCAGUUCAGUUUGGUUGCUCAGUCGUGUCCUACUCUUUGCGACCCCAUGAACUGCAGCAAACUCCUGGAGUUCACUCAGACUCAUGUCCAUCGAGUCAGUGAUGCCAUCCAGCCAUCUCAUCCUCUGUCGUCCCCUUCUCCUCCUGCCCCCAAUCCCUCCCAGCAUCAGAGUCUUUUCCAAUGAGUCAACUCUUCGCAUGAGGUGGCCAAAGUACUGGAGUUUCAGCUUUAGCAUCAUUCCUUCCAAAGAAAUCCCAGGGCUCAUCUCCUUCAGAAUGGACUGGUUGGAUCUCCUUGCAGUCCAAGGAACUCUCAAGAGUCUUCUCCAACACCACAGUUCAAAAGCAUCAAUUCUUCAGCGCUCAGCCUUCUUCACAGUCCAACUCUCACAUCCAUACAUGACUACUGGAAAAACCAUAGCCUUUACUAGAUGGACCAUAGUCGGCAAAGUGAUGUCUCUCCUUUUGUAUAUGCUGUCUAGGUUGGUCAUAACUUUUCUUCCAAGGAGUAAGCGUCUCUUAAUUUCAUGGCUUGCAGUAAUUACUUUUACUAAAUUCCUCAAGUUCAGACGUCACUACCAGGCUACAAAAUAUCUCUGGUCCCAUUU